rnacentral:rRNA from 1 species
AGCGAACGCUGGCGGCAGGCCUAACACAUGCAAGUCGAACGAGCUCUUCGGAGCUAGUGGCGGACGGGUGAGUAACACGUGGGAACGUGCCCUUAGGUACGGAAUAACGCAGAGAAAUUUGCGCUAAUACCGUAUGUACCCUUCGGGGGAAAGAUUUAUCGCCUUUGGAGCGGCCCGCGUCUGAUUAGCUAGUUGGUGAGGUAAUGGCUCACCAAGGCUACGAUCAGUAGCUGGUCUGAGAGGAUGACCAGCCACACUGGGACUGAGACACGGCCCAGACUCCUACGGGAGGCAGCAGUGGGGAAGCUCGCGCAAUGGGCGAAAGCCUGACGCAGCCAUGCCGCGUGAAUGAUGAAGGUCUUAGGAUUGUAAAAUUCUUUCACCGGGGACGAUAAUGACGGUACCCGGAGAAGAAGCCCCGGCUAACUUCGUGCCAGCAGCCGCCGUAACAC